rnacentral:rRNA from 1 species
GACGAACGCUGGCGGCGUGCUUAACACAUGCAAGUCGAGCGAGGCCCACCUUUCGGGGUGGUGUCCUAGCGGCGAACGGGUGAGUAACACGUGGGCAACCUGCCCCCGGCUCGGGGAUAACCCCAAGAAAUUGGGGCUAAUACCGGAUACGACCGCUGACCGCAUGGUCUGGUGGUGGAAAGAUUUAUCGGCUGGGGAUGGGCCCGCGGCCUAUCAGCUUGUUGGUGGGGUAGUGACCUACCAAGGCGACGACGGGUAGCCGGCCUGAGAGGGUGACCGGCCACACUGGGACUGGGACACGGCCCAGACUCCUACGGGAGGCAGCAGUGGGGAAUAUUGCGCAAUGGGCGGAAGCCUGACGCAGCGACGCCGCGUGGGGGAUGACGGCCUUCGGGUUGUAAACCUCUUUCAGCAGGGACGAAGUCGCAAGGUGACGGUACCUGCAGAAGAAGCACCGGCCAACUACGUGCCAGCCGCCGCCGUAACAC